AGAGAGAGACAUGCGCGCAUAUCAAUAAGCGGAGGAAAAGAAACUAACAAGGAUUCCCUUAGUAACGGCGAGUGAAGCGGGAAGAGCUCAAAUUUGAAAUCUUCAAGGUUUUACCUUGACGAAUUGUAGUUUAAAGAAGUGUUUUCUGCUGAAGUUUUGGUAAAAGUUCUUUGGAAUAGGACAUCAUAGAGGGUGAGAAUCCCGUAUUUGACCAUUAUUUUCCAGCUUUGUGAUACACUUUCAAAGAGUCGGAUUGUUUGGGAAUGCAGUCCAAAAUGGGUGGUAAAUUUCAUCUAAAGCUAAAUACUGGCAAGAGACCGAUAGCGAACAAGUACCGUGAGGGAAAGAUGAAAAGAACUUUGAAAAGAGAGUUAAACAGUACGUGAAAUUGUCAAAAGGGAAGCGUUUGACACCAGUGUUGUUUUCUCGAAAAUCAAUUAAAAAUGGCUCGAUUUUGUAUUGUUGAGACCUUAAAAGCUCACUGUACAUUUUUCGUGUCUUUUUUAAUGCACUUUUCGUUUAACAAGUCAACAUCAGUUUCUUUUGUUGUAAAAGGGUCAUUGGAAGGUGGCUUUCUUUUCGGAGAAAGUGUUUAUAGCCUUUGGCCUCUGCACUCGGAGAGACUGAGGUCUGCAGCGUAGACUCUUCGGGGUUAGAUACAUUUGUGCUAAGUUAUAGCUUUUAUAGACAACUUGUUGACUAUGAUUAGUCAUUGUAGCUUACUCGCUUAUGCUAUUUUACCUACGCUUAGGAUGUUGAAGUCAUCGUAUCGCGC
rnacentral:rRNA from 1 species